rnacentral:rRNA from 1 species
AUUGAACGCCGGCGGCAGGCCUAACACAUGCAAGUCGAGCGGGUGAAGGGAGCUUGCUCCUGGAUUCAGCGGCGGACGGGUGAGUAAUGCCUAGGAAUCUGCCUGGUAGUGGGGGAUAACGUCCGGGAACGGGCGCUAAUACCGCAUACGUCCUGAGGGAGAAAGUGGGGGAUCUUCGGACCUCACGCUAUCAAAUGAGCCUAGGUCGGACUAGCUAGUUGGUGGGGUAAAGGCCUACCAAGGCGACGAUCCGUAACUGGUCUGAGAGGAUGAUCAGUCACACUGGAACUGAGACACGGUCCAGACUCCUACGGGAGGCAGCAGUGGGGAAUAUUGGACAAUGGGCGAAAGCCUGAUCCAGCCAUGCCGCGUGUGUGAAGAAGGUCUUCGGAUUGUAAAGCACUUUAAGUUGGGAGGAAGGGCAGUAAGUUAAUACCUUGCUGUUUUGACGUUACCAACAGAAUAAGCACCGGCUAACUUCGUG